rnacentral:rRNA from 1 species
UACGUAGGGGGCAAGCGUUUGUCCGGAAUCAUUGGGCGUAAAGAGCGUGUAGGCGGCUCGCAAAGUCUGGUGUGAAAACUUGAGGCUCAACCUCAAGCUGUCACUGGAUACUGGCGGGCUUGAGUCCGGAAGAGGAGAGUGGAAUUCCUGGUGUAGCGGUGGAAUGCGCAGAUAUCAGGAGGAAUACCCAUAGCGAAGGCAGCUCGCUGGGACGGUACUGACGCUGAGGCGCGAAAAGCGUGGGGGAGCGAACAGG